GGAAGGGUGGCCGAGUGGUUUAAGGCGCCAGUCUUGAAAACUGGAGUACCGCAAGGUACCGUGAGUUCGAAUCUCACCCCCUCCG
rnacentral:tRNA from 1 species